rnacentral:rRNA from 1 species
AGGGAAACAACCCAGACCGUCAGCUAAGGUCCCAAAGUGUAUGUUAAGUGGGAAACGAUGUGGGAAGGCUAAAACAGCUAGGAGGUUGGCUUAGAAGCAGCCAUCCUUUAAAGAAAGCGUAAUAGCUCACUAGUCGAGUCGGCCUGCGCGGAAGAUGUAACGGGGCUAAACAUACCACCGAAGCUACGGCUGCAUACAUUAGUAUGCGGGGUAGGGGAGCGUUCUGUAAGUGGCUGAAGGUGUGCCGGGAGGCAUGCUGGACAUAUCAGAAGUGCGAAUGCUGACAUGAGUAACGAUAAUGCGGGUGAAAAACCCGCACGCCGGAAGACCAAGGGUUCCUAUCCCAUGUUAAUCAGGGUAGGGUAAGUCGACCCCUAAGGCGAGGCUGAAGAGCGUAGUCGAUGGGAAACGGGUUAAUAUUCCCGUACUUGGAAUAAUUGCGAUGGGGGGACGGAGCAGGCUAAUCAAGCAUGGCGUUGGUUGUCCAUGUGAAAGUGAGUAGGCUGGUGACUUAGGCAAAUCCGGGUCACUAAGGCUGAGACACGAGACGACACUCUACGGAGUGGAAGUUGAUGAUGCCCUACUUCCAGGAAAAGCCUCUAAGCUUCAGAUUAUUUCGAAUCGUACCCCAAACCGACACAGGUGGUCAGGUAGAGAAUACUAAGGCGCUUGAGAGAACUCGGGUGAAGGAACUAGGCAAAAUUGUACCGUAACUUCGGGAGAAGGUACGCUCUUGGUUGUUAAACCUUUACGGUGUAAGCGACUGAGAGCCGCAGUGACCAGGUGGCUGGGACUGUUUAUUAAAAACACAGCACUGUGCAAAAUCGUAAGAUGACGUAUACGGUGUGACACCUGCCCGGUGCCGGAAGGUUAAUUGAUGGGGUUAGCGUAAGCGAAGCUCUUGAUCGAAGCCCCAGUAAACGGCGGCCGUAACAAUAACGGUCCUAAGGUAGCGAAAUUCCUUGUCGGGUAAGUUCCGACCUGCACGAAUGGCGUAACGAUGGCCACACUGUCUCCUCCCGAGACUCAGCGAAGUUGAAAUGUUUGUGAUGAUGCAAUCUACCCGCGGCUAGACGGAAAGACCCCAUGAACCUUUACUGUAGCUUUGCAUUGGACUUUGAAUCAAUCUGUGUAGGAUAGGUGGGAGGCUUUGAAGUGUGGACGCCAGUCUGCAUGGAGCCGACCUUGAAAUACCACCCUUUAAUGUUUGAUGUUCUAACGUUGACCCGUAAUCCGGGUUGCGGACAGUGUCUGGUGGGUAGUUUGACUGGGGCGGUCUCCUCCCAAAGAGUAACGGAGGAGCACGAAGGUUGGCUAAGUACGGUCGGACAUCGUACGGUUAGUGUAAUGGUAGAAGCCAGCUUAACUGCGAGACAGACACGUCGAGCAGGUACGAAAGUAGGUCAUAGUGAUCCGGUGGUUCUGAAUGGAAGGGCCAUCGCUCAACGGAUAAAAGGUACUCCGGGGAUAACAGGCUGAUACCGCCCAAGAGUUCAUAUCGACGGCGGUGUUUGGCACCUCGAUGUCGGCUCAUCACAUCCUGGGGCUGAAGUCGGUCCCAAGGGUAUGGCUGUUCGCCAUUUAAAGUGGUACGCGAGCUGGGUUUAGAACGUCGUGAGACAGUUCGGUCCCUAUCUGCCGUGGGCGUUGGAAGAUUGAAGGGGGCUGCUCCUAGUACGAGAGGACCGGAGUGGACGAACCUCUGGUGUUCGGGUUGUCAUGCCAAUGGCAUUGCCCGGUAGCUACGUUCGGAAUCGAUAACCGCUGAAAGCAUCUAAGCGGGAAGCGAGCCCUGAGAUGAGUAAUCCCUAGAGCUUUAAGCUCUCUAAAGGGUUGUUGGAGACUAC